rfam:Strongylocentrotus purpuratus Contig65406_fixed, whole genome shotgun sequence.
AUCUUUGCGCAGAGGCAGUAUCGUAGCCAAUGAGGUUUAUCCGAGGCGCGAUUAUUGCUAGUUGAAAACUUAUCCCAAUACCCCGCUCUAUCGACGCGAAAUACCGUCGACUGUAGCAAUUUUUCCAGAUCUCCAAAGAGA